AGAUUGUGCCUAGAGAUCUGAGGAUGAAGGACAAGUUUCUGAAACACCUCACAGGGCCUCUUUAUUUCAGUCCGAAGUGCAGCAAACACUUCCACAGACUUUACCACAACACUCGAGACUGCACCAUCCCUGCAUACUAUAAAAGAUGUGCCAGGCUUCUUACCCGGUUGGCUGUCAGUCCCAUGUGCAUGGAGGGAUAAGG